GUUCGUAUGGCUCAGAACGAACGCUGGCGGCAUGGAUUAGGCAUGCAAGUCGAACGAAGCAGCAAUGCUUAGUGGCGCAAGGGUGAGGAACGCGUGAGUGACCUACCCACAAGUUUGGAACAGCUCCUGGAAACGGGAAUUAAUACCGGAUGUGAUCGAUGAACUGCAUGGUUUAUUGAUUAAAGCAGCAAUGCGCUUGUGGAUGGGCUCGCGUCCCAUUAGCUAGUUGGUGAGGUAACGGCCCACCAAGGCCAUGAUGGGUAGCUGGUCUGAGAGGACGACCAGCCACACUGGGACUGAGAACUGCCCAGACUCCUACGGGAGGCUGCAGUCGAGAAUUUUGGGCAAUGGACGAAAGUCUGAACCCCCAGCAAUGCCGCGUGCGGGAUGAAGGUCUUCGGAUUGUAAACCGCUGUUUGGAGGGACGAAAAUUGACGGUACUUCCAGAGAAAGCCACGGCUAACUACGUGCCAGCCGCUGC
rnacentral:rRNA from 1 species